rnacentral:rRNA from 1 species
CCUACGGGCGGCAGCAGUGAGGAAUAUUGGUCAAUGGACGAGAGUCUGAACCAGCCAAGUAGCGUGAAGGAUGACUGCCCUAUGGGUUGUAAACUUCUUUUAUAUGGGAAUAAAAUGUUCCACGUGUGGGAUUUUGUAUGUACCAUAUGAAUAAGGAUCGGCUAACUCCGUGCCAGCAGCCGCGGUAAUACGGAGGAUCCGAGCGUUAUCCGGAUUUAUUGGGUUUAAAGGGUGCGUAGGUGGAUUGUUAAGUCAGUUGUGAAAGUUUGCGGCUCAACCGUAAAAUUGCAGUUGAAACUGGCAGUCUGGAGUACAGUAGAGGUGGGCGGAAUUCGUGGUGUAGCGGUGAAAUGCUUAGAUAUCACGAAGAACUCCGAUUGCGAAGGCAGCUCACUGGACUGCAACUGACACUGAGGCUCGAAAGUGUGGGUAUCAAACAGGAUUAGAUACCCCAGUAGUC